UCCCCCGAGCAAAGCGGAAAAGUCGAAUACGAGCGCGAAAGGCUGCUGGGAUUCGCUAAUAAAUGAAUGAAGUUAUUAGCGAUUACCAGCAACCUUUCGCGCUCGUAUUCGACUUUUCCGCUUAGCUCGGGGAACA